rnacentral:rRNA from 1 species
CAGGCCUAACACAUGCAAUGUCGAGGGGCAGCAUUUCUAGCUUGCUAGAAGAUGGCGACCGGCGCACGGGUGAGUAACGCGUAUGCAACCUACCUUAUACUGGGGAAUAGCCCAGAGAAAUCUGGAUUAAUACCGCAUAAUAUGUUUGAAUCGCAUGGUUUAAAUAUUAAAACUCCGGUGGUAUAAGAUGGGCAUGCGUAGCAUUAGUUAGUUGGUGAGGUAACGGCUCACCAAGACAAUGAUGCUUAGGGGGUCUGAGAGGAUAGUCCCCCACACUGGUACUGAGACACGGACCAGACUCCUACGGGAGGCAGCAGUGAGGAAUAUUGGUCAAUGGGCGCAAGCCUGAACCAGCCAUGUCGCGUGCAGGAUGACGGCCCUAUGGGUUGUAAACUGCUUUUUUACAGGAAUAAUUGUCGCUACGUGUAGUGAUUUGAAUGUACUGUAUGAAUAAGGAUCGGCUAACUCCGUGCCAGCAGCCGCGGUAAUACAAGGGC